CCAUUCACUUUGAACACUCUACCAUCAUUAGGAUCCUCAAUUUCAACUGCUCCAUUUUCAAAGACUCUUAGUACCACAAAGGGACCAGUCCACCUAGAACGAAGUUUUCCAGGAUGCUUGUGGAGUCUAGAAUCAUACAGGUAUACUUUUUGAUUUGGUUCAAAAGUUUUUCUCAAAAUGUUUUUAUCAUGAAAAGCUUUCAUUUUUUCCUUGUAGAUUCUAGAACUCUCAUAGGCCUCAUUUCUCAACUCCUCUAACUCAGCCAACUGAAAUUUCCUAAGCUUACCUCCCUCUUCUA
rnacentral:lncRNA from 1 species